AAGGUGAUCCUAAAAGGGUGAACAAGCUUUGUUUCUUAUUCACUUAUGGAAAAAAAAAAAGGUAAGAGAGGUGUGGGAAGGUGGAAAAAGUGGUAAGCAUUGCUUCAUAUCUGGUGCCAAAACCUGUUCGGUCCACAUGAAAUUUAACACUGAAAGUGACGUUUCCAUUGAGGCACACUUCUUCUUUUUAUUAAGGUUCACAUAAGAACUGAAAACAUAUUUUUGGUUCGUUUUUCCUCCUCGGGAAUAUCCCUUGAGUGUGUGUAGUUCCUGCUUCUAGGAGUCUUACACACGUCUUUGGAGGUGAACAGAAAUCCUGCCAGCAAGAACUAGACUGUAGCUGAAUACUGUAACUCUCCUUGAGUCACUCACACAUGCAGUUGUUUUCUUUAAGUAAUGUUUCAUCAUGUCUCUUCUUGUGUUGUGCUCAGGUCAGCACGUCGGCUGUGAAGGAUAAAGAAAGGAAGGUGAAGCUCACAUGGAGGAACGCCCCUCUGCCCCUCACUAGAAGCACUUACCAUAACAACUUGAUAAGUGCUCACCAUUGGACUGGAGCCUAUCCAGGAGUGGGAGGGGAUGUACACCCUGUACAGGUCACCAAUCUACCACAGGGCUCACACAGAGAGAAAGACUCCACAUGGAAGAGGGUAGCUGGUGGUUUCAAAACCAGGACUGUCUUGCUGUGAGGCGAUGAUGGCAACCACCACCAAUAACUUAACCUCACAACUAGAAAUUAAAUUGUGCAUAAUUUUAUGUGUGAAAGCAGCCACCAGACCACUAUACAUUUUACAAGUUUUUUCCCCAACUUUAAGUGUUGUAUAUGCAAAUGUUCACAGUUUGAAAUUCAUUUAUCCAAUUAUUCCACCACAUGGAUGAAUGUUAUGUGUGAACGCUUUAUUUAACUGGAAAUAGAAGAGUCACCAACAUGCUGACGGUGCCCAAACCAAACAACUGUAAAUGUAUGCAACGAGACGUCCAAAUAUUCAAGUGAAUAUCACCAUCUCUGUUUCAAAGGCUUAAGAAUUCAGAAUCUAUUGUCUCUCAUUCUUAUCUUCAUGAAAAAUGUGAGUGAACAAACAGUUCAUUGUGUUUUGUUACACCUUCAAAUAAAGGCUGACGUACGAACAGGAGACACAUCGCAACGUAGAGGAAUUCCUCCUAGUAUAAUAGAGUAUGGUUUGACAUGCCUGCAUUUCAUCAGAGUGCUGAGAAUAACUGCCUCACCACCCACCGGUCUGAACCCUUAACUAACCUCAUCAGUAUCAACACAACAAUCAUCACUUUUUAACAGAAAGAUUUUGGAGCCUCAGUCAUAUCUAUGAAACUGGAAUCGGACACUAUGCCAAACAGUGAACGUACACCACUGUUUACUACGUAUCUGCAAAAUAAAGAAAUUAAAAGGCUGCAGGCAAACAGACAAAAUAUUUUUCACGUCUGUCAGCUUUGACAUAGUUGAAAUAAAUAGGAAUAUUAUGAUAAUAGAAAUAAUAAAAAGGGAAAUAAAGAAAGCAAAAGAAAAGGAAAAACAUGAACAACAGACAGAGAGAAUUUGCACAGCUCGUCUUGGAAGAGCAAAUGUGUUUGGCACAGCAGAGCAUUCAGAUCAUAAUUCUGAUGCAAAAGUUGCCUGACAGGUUAACAAUGACAACAAAACAAACAAAGUCUAUUCUUGAAGCUGGAUUUAAGAAACAAGAGUUUAAAAGUUAAAGUUUUUAGACAAUGUGCAGCGCCAUCUUGUGCCAGUGCAGAACUUGACAUCACUAGGGUUGUUGGUUGGUUGGUUGUUGCCAACAGACCCUACAAUAGUUUAUGUUAGCUAACUAGUGACAGAAAUGAUAAUUAACUGGAAAACAAGGAGACUAAAAAACAACGAUAUACCGUCAACUUCACUCUGUCUCUUUAGCAGUAAGUGGUUCGCCCAGAGAAUCAGCUGCUGUCCAUAAGAUCUGAUCAGAGUGAUUAAUUGCAAUAAAUCAGUCACACCCAAACAGUUUACGACAUGAGCAUCACACCACCUCAGCUCAGGAGGUACAGCAGGUUAUCUACUAAUCGGAAGGUUUGUGGUUCGAGCUCUGGCUGCUACAGUGUACAUGCCAAAUAUCCUUGGCAAGACACUCAACCCCAAGUUGUUACAUCAGAGUGAUCAUCACAGUGUGAAUGUUACGCAGAAAGCACUUAUGAAAGAAAAAGUAUAGCAAGUACUUGAAUGGGUGAAUGACGCACGUUACAUAAAAGCGCUUUGAGUGCUCAGUCUUUGCCAACCCAAA